AUGGUACUUCACCUUGUUGGCUGUGUGAGCGCACCAGAGGAGUGUCACCUAAAGUCGACGAUUCGUAUCGAAAUGUGAGGCAAACGACGGGGAAUUUCAAACAACAUUGCCUAAAUGAUGGAACUGAUCAAAUGGCAGAGAAAACCAUGACCUGACCUGUAUCUGGGCUGGACUAUCUUGUCACUAAUCAAGCCUAUUACAUUGUAUCUGAAUCCAUAAAACAAUUAAGUAAUAUGCAAUCAUAAAAAUAUCUGAGUUACACAGUACCCAUCAUCAAGCCUAGAGAGAUGGUCCUUUCCGAGAAGAGCUCCAGGGCCUCGGGGCCUAAGAAAGCAUGCAGAAAAUGGGGCCUAUGGCCCCAGAGUUUCCCCUCCCCGGCCCUGUGCUGCGCCUGUGGCCUGGGGAUCAUGCUGGCGGGCAUCAACAUCACCUUGGUGGGGGCUUUCACUUUCAAGUCCUUCAUCCCCGCCAGCAACCCAUCCAUCGUCAUUGGGCCACUGCUCCUAAUAGUGGCUCUGUCCUUUUUUGGGGCAUGCUGCAUGUGUAGCCGACGGGCCCCGGCCCGCGAUACCCGUAAGGCAAAGGGGGGCGAGAGCUGGGGGCUGAUGCGGAUGGGGGCCGGCGCAACGUUUGAGAUGGAGACGAGCGAACACACGCUGCAGGACACCACCGCCGUGCAGCUCAGUCCCACCAACUCCCCGACCUCCUCCCACAAGUCUAGUAACUCCACCCAUAGGGACACCCCUGCACUGCGGGCUUGUGAGGAUGACCCUGCCUCCAGGGCCUGCGAGCUCACCACCUCAGAGACCUAUAAUAUAGAUGUGACACCUGAUGACCAGGUCUUGACUGCAGAGGACCAGGCAAUGACCUCUGAGGACCAGGCAUUGACCACUGAGAACCAGGCAUUGACCACUGAGAACCAGGCAAUGACCUCUGAGGACCAGGCAAUAACCUCUGAGGACCAGGCAUUGACCUCUGAAGACCAGGCAUUGACCACUGAGGACCAGGCAUUGACCUCUGAGGACUAGGCAUUGACCUCUGAGGACUAGGCAUUGACCUCUGAGGACCAGGCAUUGACCUCUGAGGACCAGGCAUUGACCUCUGAGGACCAGCCAUUGACCUCUGAGGACCAGGCAUUGACCUCUGAUAUUGAUUAUAAGGAGAGCAUCCAGAUGAAGGCUAUACACAAGCCUUACCUAACGUAGCAGGGCUGUCUCCUGGCUAUUACAUAAACUGGUGCCGUAUAAUGCUCUAGUACUAUAUACAGUGCAUUUGGAAAGUAUUCAGACCCUUUCACUUUUUCCGCAUUUUGUUACGUUACAGCCUUAUUCUAAAAUGUAUUAAAUCAUUUUUCAAUCUACACACAAUACCCCAUAACGACAAAGCAAAAACAUUUUUUUUUAUAUAUAAAUAUUUGUAUUUUAUUUAUUUAAAUGGCAAUAUAACAUUUACUUAAGUAUUCAGACCCUUUACUCUAGUACUUUGUUGAAGCACCUUUGGCAGGAAUUACAGCCUUCAAGUCUUCUUGGGUAUGACACUACAAGCUUGACACACCUGUAUUUGGGGAGUUUCUCCCAUUCUUCUCUGCAGAUCCUCUCAAGCUCUGUCAGGUUGGAUGGGGAGCGUCACAGCACAGCUAUUUUCAGGUCUCUCCAGAGAUGUUUGAUUGGGUUCAAGUCCGGGCUCUGGCUGGGCCACUCAAGGAUACUCAGAAACUUGUCCCGAAGUCACUCCUGGGUUGUCUUGGCUGUGUGCUUAGGGUCGCUGUCCUGUUGGAAGGUGAACAUUUGCCCCAGUCUGAGGUCCUGAGCACUCUGGAGCAGGUUUUCAUCAAGGAUCUCUCUGUUCUUUGCUCCUUUCAUCUUUCCCUCGACCCUGACUAGUCUCCCAGUCCCUGCCGCUGAAAAACAUCCCCACAGCAUGAUGCUGCCACCUCCAUGCUUCACCGUAGGGAUGAUGUGAUGUUUCCUCCAGAUGUGACACUUGACAUUCAGGCCAAAGAGUUUAAUCUUGGUUUCAUCAGACCAGAGAAUCUUGUUUCUCAUGGUGAGAGUUCUUUAGGUGCCUUUUAGUAAACUCCAAGCAGGCUGUCAUGUGCCUUUUACUGAGGAGUGGCUUCCAUCUGACCACUCUACCAUAAAGGCCUGAUUAGUGGAGUGCUGCAGAGAUGGUUGUCCUCCUGGGAGGUUCUCCCAUCUCCACAAAGGAACACUGGAGCUCUGUCAGAGUGACCAUCGGGUUCUUGGUCACCUCCCUGAUUGCUCAGUUUGGCCGGGCGGCGAGCUCUAGGAAGGGUCUUGGUGGUUCUGAACUUCUUUCAUUUAAGAAUGAUGGAGGCCACUGUGUUCUUGUGGACCUUCAAUGCUGCAGAAAUGUUUUGGUACCCUUCCCCAGAUCUGUGCCUCGACACAAUCGGAGCUCUACGGACAAUUCCUUCGACCUCAUGGCUUGGUUUUUGCUCUGACAUGCACUGUCAACUGUGGUACCUUAUAUAGACAGGUGUGUGCCUUUCCAAAUCACGUCUAAUCAAUUGAAUUUACCACAAGUGGACUCCAAUCAAGUUGUAGAAACAACUCAAGGAUGAUCAAUGGAACAGGAUGCACCUGAGCUCAAUUUCGAGUCUCAUAGCAAAGGGUCUGAAUACUUAUGUAAAUAAGGUAUUUCUGUUUUUUUUAUAUAAAUUUGCAUUUCUAACAUUUCUAACACAUUUCUAAAAACCUGUAUUCGCUUUGUCAUUAUGGGGCAUUGUGUGUAGAUUGAUGAGGAUUUUUUAGAAUAAGGCUGUAACGUAACAAAAUGAGGAAAAGGGGAAGGGGUCUGAAUACUUCCCGAAUGCACUGUAAACUGUGGGUACUGGAGUCUCUAAUCAAGAAGUUUCAUCCUGGAUAUUUUAGGGGGAUCAUUUGAACUCAUUAAUGGCCAUGAUCUACGGUGGGCUGUGGUCAUGAACCCAAUUGUAAAAUGGGAUGAAGUGCAUGUUCGAAAAAACGAAAAACAAAUCAAUAUGUUCUACUGUGCAUAUUUUUAAAGGACUGUUACAUUAUGUAUUUAAACUUAACCUUGUCCCCAGACUCAAUUGCUAUGACAGAAAGCCGGCUGAAGGAUGAGGUUAAUUCAGACGUGGAAAGAGGUGUUGACUAGAUUAUCUCAGAUAUUAUAAGAGCAAGCUCUGCCAGUCAGUCUCAGCGUCAGUUAAUGUAUGCGUCCCAAAUGGCACCAUAUUCCCUUUAGGGCUCUGGUUUAAAGGAGUGCACUAUAAUGGAAAUAGGUGCCAUUUGGGACACGUAAAUAUGAGGAGGGGAAAAAAUGAAGAAGAGGAGAACUAAGCCUCUGAUUCGUUGUAGAUUGUGUCGGUCUCCCUGUCUGGCUAAAUCUAGUCCUCAGUAUGAGAAAAAAAUAAUGUUAAUCUUGUUGGAUGUUGUACUAAGAUCUGGGGACUGUGGGGAGGAUGAUGGCUACAUUUACAGCAAAACCCCCUUUGGCGAGGAGCUUAUAUGAAGUACAGUUAAAGAAUUUAAAGGGACAGUUCACCCAAAUUAGACAAAUCCAGUAAGCAAUCUUUGGACAACGUAAAACAGCAAUCUGUGCUUUGGUUUUGUGUACCUGGCCACCUGACUGCAUAUCCGGUAAGGAAACCAAUAUGUAAUGUAGUAAUUUGGGUGAACUAUGCCUUUAAGACUGUAAAAUCAUCAUGGCCAGUACCAGCAUAGACCCUGCACAGACCCUGUCCUACUAUUUUGAGGUAUUCUUCCUUCUUUUCUUGGCCUAUUGGUAAAUCCUGUUACCAUGGGCACCGUAUGUACAGUACAAAGGGACAACUUAGUAUUUACAGCAAAGUAAGGCUCCCUGAGUCAUGAAAGCUGGUGAAUCAUUGGCUAGCAGAAACUGUGAUUCCUGUCAUUUUCUCUCUGUGUCACCUGCAGGUAUUGCCUUGUAGUACUAAUGUAGAGCAUUAAAAUACAUAUGUCCUUUGUAUUUUAUUCUUAUACGGUAUGCUAGGAUGUGGGAGAUGUUAUUCGAUGUAACUGUUGUACAAUAAAUGUGAUGGGUUUGUUGGGAAAACAUAAAGAAAUACUGUUUGCAACCUAAAAUUGACUCCGAUAUACAGUAUGCUCACAUUUCAGAUGUACUGCAGGACAAACAUUCUGGGAGUCUAAAUGUAGCAAGCCUCCUAAACCAGAUCUCCUCCUUGUAGCCUGGGGAUGAGAUUAACAUGUAGCUGACACCAGACAGUAGACAAGUUUCAGACAAGACAGUAUACACAGAGUGUACAAAACAAUAGGAACACCUUCCUAAUAUUAAGUUGCACCCCUUUUUGCCCUCAGAACCAGGGGCACAACUUUCACCAGUUUUGCCAUUGGAAUGGGAUACAAAACGAGGCAACGGUGGACGCCAUGUGGACGCCUCCGAGAGGGUGAGGAGGGUUGGCUGUUUGGAGUGUUUAUCCGCUCAGAUCAAAAAAUGAUGCGCCCCUUUUCUAAAACCAAAGUUGCGCCCCUGCUCCGAACAGCCUCAAUUUGUCGGGGAAUGGACUCCACAAGGUGUCAAAAGCAUUCCACAGGGAUGCUAUCCCACGUUGACUACAAUGCUUCCCACAGUUUUGUCAAGUUGGCUGGAUGUCUUUUGGUUGGUGGACCAUUCUUUAUAUACACAGGAAACUGUUGAGUGUGAAAAACUCAGCAGCAUUGCAGUUCUUGACACACUCAAAACAGUGCGCCUGACACCUACUACCAUACCUCGUUCAAAGGCACAUAAAUCUUUUGUCUUGCCCUUUAACCCUCUGAAUUGCACACCGAACGAACACAUAACACCAUCGACGUCUCAAGGCUUAAAGAUCCUUCUUUAACCUGUCUUCUCCGCUUCAUCUGCACUGAUUGAAGUGGAUUUAACAAGUAACAUCAAUAAGGGACCUGGAGUCACCUGGUCAGUCUGUCAUGGAAAGAGCAGGUGUUGCUGAUGUUUUGUACACUCAGUGUAAACUAGACCAGGCAGGAUGUGGGGAUAAUUCUGUCUUAUCAGCAAGGAUCCUGUGCAGUGAAUACAAAACACCUCCUUCAGCUCUUUCCACAGCAUUUUGCCCACCACCACCACUUGGCAUUUCACCCAACAGGCCGUGGCAAGGCGAGACUGUCUGUUUACUCAUCGUUACACAUCUGCUGUCCGCAAACACAGCUAGCCACACAGCCAUACAUUACAACGAGCAGAGUUCACAGCAGAAAAGACCAGUGCAGAGGAAGCAGAUGCUCCGAGUUGACACAAAAUGGCCGUCUGGGAUUUCAAUAACACAUUAAUACAAUGUCUUCAGAAAGUAUUCAUACCCCUUGACUUACUCCACAUUUUGUUGUGUUACAGCACGUGUCAAACUCCUUCCACGGAGGACCGAGUGUCUGCGGGUUUUCGCUCCUCCCUUGUACAUGACUGACGAAUUAAGGUCACUGAUUAGUAAGGAACUCUCCUCACCUGGUUGUCGAGGUCUUAACUGAAAGGAAAACCCAGCAGGACCUUCAUGGAAUGAGUUUGACACUCCUGUGUUAAAACCUGAAUUCAAAAUGGAUUAAAUCGAUGUGUUUUCUCACCCCUCUACACAUAGACCAGGGUUCUUUUCACAGUCCCCAAAUCCAGAACAAAUUCAAGAAAGAGUACAGUAUUAUAUAGAGCCCUUAUUGCAUGGAACUUCCUUCCAUCUCAUAUUGCUCAAAUAAACAGCAAACAUGGUUUUAAUAAAAAAAAACAGAUAAAGCAACACCUCACGGCACAACGCCUCUCCACAAUUUGACCUAGACAGUUUGUGUGUAUGCAUUGAUAUGUAGGCAACGUGUGCCUUUAAAUAAAAUCUAUGCAGUUCUGUCCUUGAGCUGUUCUUGUCUAUUGAUGUUCUGUAUUCUGUCAUUCUGUAUUAUGUUUCAUGUUUUGUGCGGACCCCAGGAA
ensembl:lncRNA